rnacentral:lncRNA from 1 species
CAUUUAUGGUCAAAAUGCGCGCAUGGAUCAGGUCAUUGGGCAGAGCCCAAACGGAGCCAUUUGAUUUGUUUUUUUUAAACCAAAAAAAAAAAAAGUUAAAACCUUAUUUCGUUUCUGCUUAAAAACAAGGAUUUUCCCCUUUUAAACUCCCCCCUUUCCUCUUGCUCUUCUUCUACAGGUCAAAGAGAAGCAGUUCGACCGCCACUUUUGAGCCAAAUUUCGACCACUCUCCAGCGCUGCGAUUGUGGGUUUAGGUAAAGUCUUUCUCUUUUCCCUUUUUUUAUUUUCGUUUGUAUGGAAAAAAAAAGAAUAAAAAGAAACAACAAAAAAAAGAAUGAAAUGAAGCAAUAGAAAAUCAAAAUGAAAAAAUCACCUUCAAAAAUUUUAGAUCUGAUGUUUUUCUUUUCCUCUGUAUUUUUGCUCUUGUAUACGUAAUAUCCCCUAAAAACAAAUGAAUAUUCGUAGCUUUUAUAGCCCGAAAGUACAAUAGUUACUUGCUAUUUCUUUGCUCACGUCGCAGGUCACGAAAACGUGGAGGAGGAACGGGCGUGGGGCGUGCUCCAAGCGAGCUGGGGUGGACGUCCGAGGUGGAGUGCGUUGUGACUGCCGGUGGCUGUGUUCGUGCGGCGCAUGGAGUAGCCUAGGGUUCUUUUCUGAUUUGGGCUAUUGUAGAGUUUUGGGCUUUAGAAUUUGGGACAAAGUUAUUUGGGUUGUUUUAUGCAAUUGGGCUGGCUUUAUAUUUUUGGGUUUAUUAUUUGUUUUUUAUUUUGUUUUGUAUGUGUAUGGGCUGUAAUUGGGUAUUUGGGCUGGAAUUAGGUUGCCCGGGCUAAAAUUAGGUCCUACAUAAAUAAUGAAACGAAUAAAAUAGAAUUAAGGAUUGAAAUGAAAUGCGCAAAAGGGAUGGGGGUUAAUUGGGAAAAUAUCCCAAAUCCAAUUAGACGCAUUGUUUUCUUGACAAACCAAGGGACUAAAUUAUACAUAAAAUAAAAUAAGUGGGGUAAAUUAAAAUUAAAAUCAAGCAAUAAGGCGAAAUUGAAUAGUGAUGAAAAUGCAGAGAGAUCAAAACAGUAAUUAGCCCAUUUAUUUUAAAAAACACGUGGAUCCUGCUGGCAGGUCGAGUCAGUGCGCGGAUCUUGGGGUGAAAUGACGUCGUUUUAGGGCCAUUGUGGCCAACCCUAAAUGACGCUGUUUAAAGGGGCCUAUAUAAGUCAAUUUUUUUUAAAUUCAUUCUAUUCCGGCUUUUUUAAAAAAAACUUUCUUAAACUCUCUGCCCCUCUCCAAAGGUCCAGCCAUUGACCACCGUGUCAGCAGUUGGUCACUGGCGACGGCACCAGCAUCCACGAUGGCCGAAAAAAUAACCUAAAUCCCUUUUUUUUAAUCACUUUUUCACACUUUUAUUCUAGAUUUCGAAUUUAAAGGCGAAAGCCUAAAAAGAAGAAAAAAUUUAGCCACCGCCUCCUUUUCUGCUUUCUGACCCCUCAUACUCCUUUUAACAAAUCCAGAAUUGACACCACUAAGGGCUCCGAUGGCUUUCGCGAACAGAGAGAAGUCCCGAUGGUGGUGAGAUGCGAAUAAACGGGUAAGUUUCAAUCCCUUUUUUAUGCUUUAUUUAAAAAAAACUAAAAUAUAUAAAAAGAAAUCACCUUUUUUAACUGAGUUCUUUUCUUAUUAAUAUUGUCUCUGUGUUACAAUCUGUUUUUUUUUGUGGCUUUAUAGCCGAAUACAAGAUUUUCGCUACUGUUUACUUUUUGUUUCUGCUACUGUUCCUGCUCUGUUGCUUGUUUGCAGGCAUUGACGACGGGAGCUUUGGGCAGCGUACGUGUUGGAGCAGGAGUACGGUGCACAUGGGGGUAGCGACGCUAGAAACCUCAGCGUUUCUGGCUUUCUGAAUUUUUUUUUAAGUUUUGGGCCUAUCACGCUUUGUAAAAAUGGACUGUUUAAUUUUUAUUUUAUUUUGAUUUGUUUUUUGUUUAGUGAGCCCGGGAAAAUUAGGCCUACUAUAAUGGUUUUGAGAACUUAUUUUUAUAAAUUGAGCCUAUAAAUAUUAAAUAGAUAAAUUGAGCUUAUAAAAUCCAAUUGCUAUAUAUUUUUAAUUGAUAAAAGACUUAGGGAUUGAAAUAGCAAUUAACCAAAGGUUUAAAAUGUCAAAUAAACCAUUUUACAAUAGCAAUUAAUGCAUGAUGAUGGAAGAUUCUAUUUAAGCUAAUUAAAGAUGGAUUAAGCUAAAUAAAAUAUUAUUAAAUUAAUUAAAUUAGGUGAUUAAGGAUUAAUUAAGGUAUAUAAGACAAACUUUAGUGGAAUUUAUUGAUCUUUUCACUUUUUCAAUCGUCCAAAACCAUAUAAAAACAAAAGGAGAGGGUUUUAGGUUUCAAAAGCAUUCGACCAACAAAUUGGAAAGCAAUUCAAACCUUUUUUCUUGUAAUUUUUAUAGAUUUGAAGUUAUGAGACUUUGAUUUAACUAGCUCAUAUACUAAUUUGCAAAACUAUUAAAAUUUUAGAAAAUUUUCAUUAUUGAUUUCUUGAAGAAUUAGGUGUGAAAUUGAUAGAAAUUAAGCUUCGUUUAUGAAAACGACUAAAUUGUAAAGCUUAAUUGUUAGUUUCAUACAUUAGAGACCGAAUUGAAUAACAUACAAAAAUUUUUAUAAAAUUUCAGUAGGAAUAGAAAGGAGGAGGUCCUUAAUGAAUUAAUGUGAAAUUAGAUUAUAAUUUGAAACUAGGAAUUUAAAGUUAUGCUUAUCCCGAGUUUAGGGGUUAAAUUGAAUAAAUUGUAUAAUAUACAUGCAUUGAUAAUUGCUUUUGAAUUGCCUAGAAAUUUAUAUUGAUAUAUGUUUUAUGAUUGUAAGUAGCUAACAUCGACACGGGGCCGUCAAGAGGGAGAGAGUUGUCGACGAUGAUACAGGACCCUGGUUUGUAUUUCUAUGAUUCGAGAUCAAUUUAAUUGUUUCAUUUUUAUGAUGUUUUCCAUGAUAUAACAUUGAGGUGAGUUAUCAAUGGCUAUUUGAACUGAAUUGUUUUGAUUGAGAUUGAAUUUUUGAGAUAGGGAGUAAAUUGAAUAGAAUGAAAAAUAGUAUGAUUUAAUUUAUAUGUGUUAUUUGGUAUGAAUUUUUAUUGAAAUAUAUUGUAUGAUGUGAUGAAAUGACGAAUUGGUAAUGAGAUUAAAGCACAAUAUGUUAUUAAGAUGUUUACUGGUUCAGUGUUAUCUUGUUAACGAAUUCGAGUUCCGUCAAAAUAGUUGGCAUGCCCUAGAUAGAAAACCAUCAUUUCUAAGCUAUUCGAGAUGGUAGAAUGUGUAUAUAGUGAUAUCCAUCAUUGCCUAACUAUUCGGAAUGGUAGAAUAUUUAUAUAUUGAAGACAUCGUUACCGAGCCAUCCAAGAUGGUAGGAUAGAUAAAUUGUAAGAACUAUCGUUGUCGGGCCAUCUGGGAUGGUAAAAUGUAAGAAUAGUGAAAGCCAUCAUUGUUGGGCCAUUCGAGAUGGUACUUUAUUGAAUAGCGCAAACCAUCAUUAUCAGGCCACCCAAGAUGUUAUAAUGAGUCUUGGUAGCAAAAGUAAUCAUUGUCGGGCAACCUGGGAUGAAAAAAGUAAUAUAUAAGUUAUGGAAUGUUAAUGAAUUGGUAUAAUAUACUUAUAUGUGAGUUAAGAUAGGUAAGGUAUGUAAAGUACUAUAUGUAUCAUUUGAAAAUGAGCUUUGGGGGCCAAACAAAUAUGAAUGAGUCAAUAGACUCUAGAACACAAUUGAAUGGUGGGUUAAACGAUAUAUUGGUGUUAAAUGAGAAUGGAAUUGAAUGUAUUGAAGUUGGAAUUGGUUUAAAGAUAGGUAGUGGAUAAGUGACUUGAAUUGAUUUUACUAUUGUUAUAGUAUGCUCAAAUGUAAAUACGUUAAUAGAAUUAUUUGGCAUUAUAGAACAUAUUUUGAAUAGUCAUUUAUAUUAUAUACCUCAUGACAAUUCACUAAUGCAUAUGUUAUUUUAUUUUAGGUCAUGAAAGUACUGCUGAGCUUAUAGCUCAGCGUACAGUUUGUUUAUUUUGUGCAUAGGUUCAGGUACCCUCGAGUCCCGAAAAAGUGAACUCAACACCCAAACCGCAUCCACCAUGUAACAGCUUGUUUUCAGUGAAAUCAGAAUAGUGGUUUUGGAAUCACAAAUAUAAAGUGAAAAUAUUUAUUUUAUUAUUAUUUUAAUGUCUACAACAUUUUAGCAGAGUCAUAUAAAAAUUUCGUUAAGAAAUUUUAUCAUUUGUAUGCUUAAUUCGAUAAAAAGGACUAAAUCGCAAAAGGUGUGAAACUUUAGUUCUAUAGGCUAAAGGUACUAAAUAGCUAUAGAAUUAAUGUGUAUGAGUCCUUAUAUGGUAAUUAAGCCAUUUUAAUUGUGAGUGGACAUUUAUGUGCAUGAUUAAGUGAAUUUAAUAAUAAAUAACAAAGGUUAAAAGUGUAAUUUAAUAAAUAAAGUAAAUUAAAUUAAACUAAAACAAGGUAUCAUCUUCCUAUUUUCAUCCCCAUCGAAUUUUUAACCUAAAAACAACAUGGGAAGAGCUUGAAACAUUUGACCAUCUUUCUCCCUUGCAUGUAAGUGAUUUUUUAUUCCGUUUUUAAUGAUUUCUAUAUUUUUGGAGUCGUCGUAGCCUAAUCUAGCUAAUCGAGGGACUAAUUUUCAAAACUAUUAAAAUAUUAGGGUUUUUCCAUGAAUGAAUACAUGUUUAUGAUGUUUGAUGGAAGAAAAUAAACCUUCCUUAUUAGAUAAACAAAUUUUGUUAAGUAAUUUUUUGAUGAAUUUGCCAAUUAGGGGUUUAAUUAAAAAAUGUAAAAAUUUCAUGGUGAAAUUGUGAAAAAAAUGAAAUGUAUGAGCUGCUAUGAGUCCAUAUGAAAUUUGGCUAUUAAAUUGUUAAGAAAUCAAAACAUUAGGAGCAAAAGCGUAAUUUUUCAAAAAUGUGAAUUUGGAUUGAAUUGAGUAGAAUGGCUACUAAUGUAACACCCCUUACCCAUACUCCACGCCAUAAUAAGGUACGACGCAUUACCGGACUUAUACACAAGUAAUCAUGCAGAACCGAGACAUAAAUUUCCAUCCAAAUUAAAACUUUUCAAAAACAUUCGUAUCGUCCCUUAGACGAGCCUACGAUGCCCAAAACAUACAUUGAGAGCGGUUCGGGACUAAACCGAACACUUAGAAAAUUUUUCAUAAAAACAAAGGUCACACGUCCGUGUGGUUUGGGACACACCCGUGUCCCUAACCCGUGUAACUCUCUGUUUAUGGUGUCAUCAAUAAAUUAGGGUCACACACGGCCAAAGUACACCUUGUGUGCUAGGCCAUGUAGGCGUACAUGCACGUGUGCUAGUCUAUGUAGGCGAUUUAACUUUCAUAAUUUGUCAUAAAAUAGGUGCAGGCUUCACAUGCCCUGGGCACACGCCCAUGUCCUUGGGCCGUGUCCUUCACACGGCUGAGACACACAGCUGUGUCUCUACCCGUGUGGCCAAUUCAAAGCUAAAAUUCAAAAAUAUAAGGGACACACGGCAAGAUCACACACUCAAAGGGCAAGCCGUGUGUCAUACACAGCCUAGACACACGCCAGUGUGUCUACCUGUAUGGACAAAAUUAAGGCUAUUUACCAAGCCUUCUUGCCACCCUUACUUGCACCAACCUACACAACAUCAAACAACACAAAUCCAAGCAUAUACACACAACCAAUUCAGCCACAACCAAGACAUCCACAUAUCAAUUACAUGCUAUUUUCUAUCACAUACAACAUUUCAUAAUUAUCAUCACAAACCAUGCAAUAACUCCAUCCAUGAAAGGCAUCACUAUAUGUAUAAAAAUUUAACCAAUAUUAGCCAAUUACCAAAUGGCCAUUUACAAAAUGAAUCAAAUACCAUUACAAGCCAACACAUUUGGCCAAAUCAAUAAUGACACAUACCACAAAAGACCAAGUCCCUAUACAUGUCAUAACUCAAAAUAAUGUAAUAAUAAGUACCCAAAACGAUAAUUUGAUAGUGUGAGUGGAUCUCUGACUGUCUUCGAUCCCCGAGCUAGCUUGAUGACACUAUAAGAAAUGAAAAAGAAUGGGGUAAGCUUUAAACUUAGUAAGUUAGCAUGUAAAUAAUAAUCAACUUUAAACAUACAAUAACAUACACAUAACAUAAUGUAAAUUAACACAACAUCAUCAAGUGAUCAUAGACAUAUCUUACUCAUUUACAUCCUUACCAAUAGUACAUCUUAAACCGAGAUCAUUUCUCAUGAGUUUUGCGUACGUACCUGUACCACUUCAUAACAUAAUCAUAACCUUUCACAUCUUUGACAUAAUCUUUAAAUUACCCGUUGAACCACUUGGAAUACACAUAGAAUCAUACCAAUGCCAUAUCCCAGAUAUGGUCUUACAUGGGAUCUCAUAUCGAUACCAAUAGCCCAACUAUGGUAUUACACGAUUCUCAUAUUGAUUCCAUGUCCCAGACAUGGUCCUAUAUGAAAUCUCAUAACGAUGUCAUAUCCCAGAUAUGGUCUUACACGUAAACUCAUAACCCUAAGGUCAUGACAUUGGUAUCCUAACUAUUCCUAAGGUUCAACCUGAAAUUUCGCCGUAUCGAAUAUUUGCCGAACGAAUCCAUAAUAAUAAUUGUACAAGUCAUGCAAUAACAAAAUAUUAAAUACAUAAUACAAGUUGCAUUAUUUACACACGAACUUACCUUGGCACAAAAUAUGGCUAACUAAUUCGAUUUAGUCCACAACAUUAUUCUUUCCCCGGUCUAGGUUCGGACUCCGUUUUUCUCGAUCUAUAAUAGCAAAUUUAGCUCAUUUAAUUAUCACAUUGUUCAAAUCAGUCCAAAAACCAUACUUUGGAAAAAUUAUAGUUUUUCCCCUCAACUUUCACAUAUUUAUAAUUUAGUCCUUAGGCUCGUAAAAUGAAAUGUACUCAUUUUCUUUAUUACCCAAGCCUAUCCGAACCUAUAUAAUGCUUAUACCAGCCCACAUUUUUCAUCAAAUCACAUUUCUACUACCCAUUUUUAUAACUUUUACAAAUAAGCCAUUUUUAGGUGUUUUCAUCAAAAAUCAUUUAGUAAAAGAUGUUUAUCACACAUCAAACUUUCAUAAUCUACCAUGAAACAUCAAAAUACAUGCAUGCCAUACAUAGGUCAAACGCUAGGCAUCAACUCUAGCUCAAAUAAAUGGUAGAAAUGGCUAGAUCAGUUGAUAACAACUUCAAAAAUGUAAAGAACAUUGAAAACGGGGCUAGGAUGCACUUAACAUCAAGUUUAAAAGUUGAACAAAACCCUAGCAAUGGUUUCUUGACAAUUUCGGCUAUGGCAUGGAGAAGAUGAGAAAAUUUUGACUUGUUUCCCUUUUUAUUCUUUUAAUUACUAAAUGACCAAAAUGCUCUUUUUACUAAACUUUUAAUUUUUACUUAUUCAUGCGCAUUUUUGUCCAUAAAAAUAGAAAUUGGUCAAAUUUUUAUUUAAGGACCUCAAAUUAAUAAUCCAUAGCUAUUUCUUUCUUAAAGCUUCUAGAAUCACAUAUUUUGUAACUUUUGUAAUUUAGUCCUAAAUAUCAAAUUGGACACUCUAUCAGCAAAAUUUAUUAACGAAACUUUCAUACAAUCAUGCAAACAUAUCAUAGACCUCAACACAUUCAUCAAAUAAUUAUUUCUACUUUGAAUUUGUGGUCUCGAAACCACUAUUCCGACUAGGCCCAAUAUCAGGAUGUUACAAUUAAAUUGAUUGAAUUUAUUCAUUUAGAUCAAGAUAGACCUCGUACAAUUUUAGAUCAAGGCAAAGAGAAAGUUUUAGAUUAAUCGACUCCGUUUCUACAUUUUAUCGUCGAGGUAAGUUCAUACAUUUAAAUAGCGUUUUAAAUUAUGUUUUAAAUGCUAUCAUUUUAUAAUAUCAAAUAUGUCUUGGCGGAAAAAUCCAAUAGCGUAACGACAAUCAUCAACUAUGGAAAGGGAUAGCUUCGACUAUCGAUUAUGAAAAGGGAUGGUGACGACCAUCAACUAUGAAAAGGGAUGGUGACAACCAUCGAAUAUGAAAAAGGGACAGUUUUGGCUAUUGAUUAUGAAAAGGGAUAACUUCGGCUAUCGAUUAUGAAAAGGGAUGGUGACGACCAUUAACUAUGAAAAGGUAUGGUGACGACCGUCGAAUAUGAAAAGGGAUAGCUUCAGCUAUCAAUUAUGAAAAGGGAUAGUAACGACUUUCAACUGUGAAAAGGGAUGGUAACGACUUUCAACUACGAAAAGGGAUGGUGACGACCAUUGAAUAUGAAAAGGGAUAGCUUUGGCUAUCGAUUAUGAAAGGGGAUAGUAGUGACCAUCAACUAUGAACAGGGAUGGUAACGACCAUCGAAUAUGAAAAGGGAUAGCAUCGGCUAUCAAUUAUGAAAGUGGAUGGUGACGACCAUCAACAAUGAAAAGGGAUGGUGACGACCAUCGUGAUUCCACUUCAUGUGAGCUUCGAUAAGAUUUUUUGAUACAAGUUACUUGUUACUAUAGAAGGUAGGAAGCAUGUGUAUUCAUGAUUUGAGAAAAGCUAUUUUAUCAUGUGUUGAUAUUAAAUUUAUGUGAUCAAGCACUAAUUUGGGUUGUUGGUGAUACUUAGGCUUAUGCCAAGCUUGUGUUGGAAUAAUUCAUUUUUUUAAGCUUAUACAUUGUAUUGGUAAGCAUCGUUUAUGAAUUACGAACUUACUAAUCAUUAUAUGCUUACCUUGUGCUCGUUUUUUUAUGUUUUGUAAUUAAUCGGAAGCUCGUUCGGGUUGGAAGUUUGUCGGAGACCUAUCACACUAUCCAUCAGCUAUAUUGGCAGAUUUUGAUGUUUUUAAGUCAUGGUUAUAAUGACAUGUAUAGGUGUAUUGUGCUUAAUGAAAUGGUAUUUUAGUUAAUGAAAUAGUUGUCAUGUUGGCUUGUAUAUAUGUGGAUUUCUGAUAGUUGAUAAUUUGGCAUUUUGGUUCUUUUUUGUGCUUGAUGGUGGAAUGGUCAAGUUGAUGUAUGUUUUAGUAACCAUUUUGGUAUAUUUGAAUGUGAUUUUGGUAUGGUAAUUUUGGUAGAAUUUGGUAUGGAAAUUGGUUGCAAUUAUUGAGUUGUUAAAUGACUAAGUUAUUCUUGUGUUUGAGUAUAUGUAAUGUCAUGAAAAUUGAGGUGCCUUUUGGCAUAUUAGUUGUAUGAGUUGGUACCAUAUUGUGCUAGCUUGAUUAUGCAUAUUUUAGGUACAUUUUGGAUGCUUGAAUUGGAUGCAAAUGGGUUGUAUAGGUGUGCACAAUUUGGUUGAAGGAAAUCGCUUGAAAAUGACCCAUUUCUUAUCUAUACAGCCUAGGACACGGGCGUGUGCCUUAUUCGUGUGUGACACACAGCCAUGCGACAUGGUCAUAUGUCCCCUGUAGGUUUCAAAGGGUUGCAAGUCAGGCAGUUACACAACCUAGCACACGGCCUGGCACAUGGGUGUGUGGCUUGGCCGUGUGACCCAAGUCAGUGAGUUACACAGGCAUAGACACGGCUGUGUGUUCCUGCUUCGAAUGUCCACAUGGCCUGAGACACGGGCGUGUGUCUAAGCCGUGUGACCCCUAUAGUAUGAAAAUUUUUAACUUUUUUCCAAAAAUUCUAUAUGUUUUGGAUUUAGUCCCGGAUAGUUCCUAAAGUGUUUCUAUGGUCUUGAUGGCUCAAAUAAGGGACAAUAAGCUUAUGUUUGAAUGGAAUACGAUGUGAUUCUUGAAAUGUUUCGAGAUGAAUAUUUAAGUGUUAAAUUUUCGGUAAUGCUCUGUAAGCUUAUUCCAGCGAUGGAUACGGGUUAGUGGUGUUAAAUCAACUUAACAUAGUUUGCAUAGUUCUCUUUUUUUCGUUAAAAGUCAUGUGUUUAGGCUUUAGUUGUUCAAAGUUUACAUAUGAUCAUUCCAAGCUAUAAUGUUGUAAGUUUAAUGAAAUGGCUAAUGUCCAUGUAUAAAAAAAAUUGUUAAUAGCUUAGAAUCUUUAUGUUGAAUGUGUUUGUAUGUGUAAAUGGUUAAAUUGAGGUCUUAACACCAACAAUUUUGUAUAGGAUUUUUGCUUAGGAUGUUUGAAUAGGUACCAAUUGGACAUUGAUAAAAUUCAGGGGUCAAGUCGCAACGACAUAAUCCCAACGUCACGACGAGAAAUAGUUUAAGGCUUACGUUGUGACAACGUAGCCUCUCAUAAUGAACCAAGUCAAUGAGUUGUGUCGUGACAAGGAAACUCUAAAGCCGCAACGUCAACCCGGAACUUUGUAACCUAUAAAUUUUGAUCCUAUUUCAACUCUGGCUUAGCAAAAGAGCUUUCAUAAGUUCGUACAAGACCUGGAAUUGAUUAUGUAUUGUUUAAUUGACAUGUUUUACUUGUAUUUGAUUAUAUAAUUAUGUUUGUAAACGCCCAAAUUUGACCGGGCCUUAAUACCAACAAGCCCAAAUCAAACCAAACACUACCCUAGUCCAAAAUUUUACAAGCCCAUAACCCAAAAAAAAGAAAAAAAGAAGAAGCAGAAACAAGAAAAAAACCUAGCAGCAGUAUGCGCCGCUCCCCACGUGCCUGGUCAGCGCGUUCAACGCUUGAGGCUCAACCACUCCCUGGCUUCAUCCCAUCGCUUCCAAAGACCUGCAAGCUGCGAGAAAAGAGAAGAGAUAACAGCAAAGAAACAUAAAAAGGGAAACAAUAGCCUAGCAAUAAAAAGUAGCAUGAGCAGUAGCAAGAAAAAUUGUAAAAAUUGGCUAUAAAGCCACCAAAAACAGAUUGUAAAAUGGGUUUUUUUUGGAGAAAUCAAACAACAAAAAAACAAUUUCAAUAGCGAUCAAAAAGUCAGAUUCAAAGUAAAAAGGUGUAUUUUCGUUCAUUUCUUUGUUUAUUCGAAAUACAAAAAGGCAAUAAUAACAUUAAAAAUCCUACCUUGACGCGUCUUCGGUCGUCGGUGGGGGGUCUCCGGCAACCCAAACGUCGUGGAACCCAUUUGGGUUCCGACGAGGUCGAAAAAUGCCACGAAAACGAAGGCGUUUCCUCCAUGAUUCACACCUUUUCCCCUUAAUCCCGUUUUAAACUCUCUAGAUCUAGUUUUCCUUUUAGAUUUUUUUUUAACAAAAAAAGGAGGGGAAAAGGUUUGAAAAGGGCAUAAAACGGGGUCGGAUCUGUGCGCCCUCAACCACCACUCACGGCGGUAUCGCAAUGGUGUCGGCGAUGAUGGGUUUCAAACCCUAGCUGAAAAGAAAAGUAGGAAAAAUGAAGUUUCUUCUUUGACUUGUUUUCUUUUUUUAAGAGAACAAAUGGCAGAGAAAGAAAUGAAACUCAUUUAAAUGGCAAAGCAAAACGGCAUUCUUUUGCAUCAAGGAGAUCGGUGGGCUAUUUGCCACUUUGAUCCUUCUGUUUCUCUACGACUAUCGAUUAGAUCCCUUCUCCCCUCUAUUUUGUUUCUUUUUAAUUUUGCCCCAGGAUUCUUAUGUCUGAUCCAUUUUACUCCUACAUAAAAUGGUGCGCAGAGAAAUUAAGGGAUAAUUUCCCGAUCAGUCCUCAAUUUAUUGCGCGCAUUUAAUUCUAAUCCCUAUUUCUUUUUCUUUAUUUAAUUUAUUAUGAGUUAUAUUCUAAUUUUGUUUAACCUUCAAUCCAAUCCCUUUUAUGGUCUCAUUUAUUAUUAUUUAAGAUUUUAAAUUUCAUUUUAAUUUCAAUUUACCUUUUUUAAUUCUGUUUAAGUUUCAAUUCUGUCCUUUGAUUAUUUAUGUUCACUUUCUUUAUAUUUUUUUAUUGUUUAUUAUCCUUUUAAAUACCUAGGUUUAAUAUUAUUUAUAUUCUUUUACUUUUAAAAUACUUAACAUUACUGUUAUGUAUAUUUGUUUUUAUUUUUGUACAAAAUUUCAUCAUUUGUCAUUAUUCUUAUUUUUUUCUCGUUGCUUAUUUAUUUCUUUACUUAUUUUUUAUACCUUCAUAUUUUAUUUAUUUUUCUUCAUCACGCAUGUUCCAUUUUUAUUUUAAUCAUUUAUUAUUACUAUUACUUUUAUUAUUAUUACUGUUUCUAUUAUUGUUUUUCUAUUACUAUUUAUGUUAUUGUUGGCACUAUUCUUUAUUUUAUUAUUAUUAUUAUUUAUUAUUUUAUCAUUCCUUUCUAUUAUUGUUAUUAUUAGUAUACUAUUAUUAUUCUUAUUAAUGUAUUAUUAUUAUUUUCUACUUUAUUAUUAUAUUAUUACUAUUGCUAUCAUCAUCUUAUUAAACUAAUUAAUUUUAUAUUGAUUUUGUCACAUUAUACAUAUAUUUUUUGUAUUUAUUUACAUUAUUAUUUCUAUUACUUUUAUUAUUAUUAUUAUUAUUAUUCUCUUAAAAUAUAAUUGUUCAUAAUCUCUUAUUCACGUAAAAUUUUACUAUUAUCAUCCUUACAUUAUUUUAAUCCUUCCUUGUUACUUAUUUGUUUUUUGGUACUUUCAUGUUUAUUUUUAUGUAUAUUCCACUUUCUUUCAUGUUUAUUUUUUAUGAAUAUCAUGGUUUAAUUAAUAUUAGAUUUAAUUGAUAAUUGCCAUCGCAUACUCGUUGUUUUAUUAUUAUAGAUAUGUCGUUAUGUUAUUUAUUCGUGUUAUCAUUCUAUUAUUAUUUCAAUCACAUCAUGAGCCAUGUUAAAGGUUCAUUCUUUACACUAAAAUCCAAAUGAUACGCAUGAUUUUAAAUAUUGCAUACAUAUUUAUUUAAAUAUACAAAAAUAAAAUAAGGCAAUAUUUCGUUCUUGGAAAUUCGAGAAAAUCGUGCCCUAACUUACUGGGUUUCGAUUUUUCUCGUUUAAUCUAAAUAACCGAAUAUCCUUUUAAAAUUUAAAUACGUUUUUUUUAAAUCAAAAGGCAAGCUUAUUUUCGGGGGUUUAAACUGUUGUGUCCUAACGUUCUGGAUGUGACAUUUAAUUACUUCGAGAUAAGAAGGUCUUUAGCAUCCGCUUCGAUUUAUUCAAUUAUUUUUGUAAAACGAACAUUCAUAAAAAGGGAUUUUAAAAAUUAGAAACAAGGCAAUAUUUUGUGUUUGAAAAUUUCGAGAAAUCGUUCCCUACGUGAUGGGUUUCGAUUUAUCGUUUGACCGAACAACCGAAUAUUCUUUUUAAAAGUUCAAUGCAUGAGUUUUGUAAAUCAUGAGAUGAUUUUGGUAUCGAAGGUUUGAAAUGUCGUGUCCUACGUGCUGGAUGUGAUAUUUUAUUUCUUCGAAACAAGAGAAUCUUAAUAUCCACCUCGAGUUAUCCAAACAUUCAUAAAAAAGGAUCGUAUUUUAAAAUUUAUUCUAAAAUUUUUUUAACUUUCGACAUCAAGACAUUAGUUAAUCAAUUAGUUACCAAUUUUGGGCGUUACGAGGGUGCUAAUCCUUCCUCGUACGUAACCGACUCCUGAACCCGUUUUCUCAAAUUUCGUAGACCAAAAUUGUUGUUUUAGUAAACCAAAAUGUUUUAUUAAAAUGACUAAACUUCUUGGUGAUCCGAUCACACCUAAACAAAAAAAGAUUAGUGGCGACUCCCAUGUUCGUUUUCAUUUUCAAAACCAAAGUCGACCCUGUUUUUUUUCAAAAAGAAUGGUUUCGACAGCUUGGCGACUCCACUGGGGACUUGAGAGUCGAGCCAUAAAUUGAUUGAUUUUUGUCUUUUGCCGAAAAUUGAAAACUCGUUUUAAACUUAUGAUCCUUUCAUUGCCGAAAAUGUCGUGUCCUACGUGCUAGAUGUGAUAUUUUAUUUCUUCAAAACAAGAGAAUCUUAAUAUCCACCUCGAGUUAUCCAAACAUUCAUAAAAAGCGAUCGUAUUUUAAAAUUUAUUCUAAAAUCUUUUUAACUUUCGACAUCAAGACAUUAGUUAAUCAAUUAGGUACCAAUUUUGGGCGUUACGAGGGUGCUAAUCAUUCCUCGUACGUAAUCGACUCCCGAACCCAUUUUCCCAAAUUUCAUAGACCAAAAUCGUUGUUUUAGUAAACCAAAAUGUUUUAUUAAAAUGACCAAACUUCUUGGUGAUCCGAUCACACCUAAACAAAAAAAGAUUAGUGGCGACUCCCAUGUUCGUUUUCAUUUUCAAAACCAAAGUUGACCUCUUUUUUUUCAAAAAAAAUGGUUUCGACAAUGUUGAAUUGUGUAUUUUUUAUUGUAGCUACUCCGAAAACUAAUGUUCCACCUUGUAGCUCGGACCCGACAAUCAGGUCAAGUAUCAAGGUGAUACAUAGUAUUAUGAGAUGUUGACAUUUUGAUUUGGGCCUAAAAAUAAGUUUUUACCAUAGACAAGUGGACUUCAAAACAUAUUUUAUUUCAUCUCAAAACGAUGUGAAUCACAUGUGGUGGCUGAACAAAGAUUGGAGAUCGACAUGCCUUUAUUGGAUAAGGCUUAUGCUUAUCCUUUAGCCUGAGUGAUUUAUGUGCUAAUAUUUUUAGAUUUAUCAAGCUUUAUCUUGGGAUAAAUUUUGAAGGUUAUUUAUACAUAAUUAUUAUGUUGUUAAAGAUGAUUUUAUCUCUGCUUGGACUGAUCUGAUAGGCUGUCUCAUUUGGCCUAUAAAGAGUCAAAUAUUCACAUAUGGAGAUUCAUCUUUUGGGGUUGCUUGUGUUGCAUUUGGUUAAUUUAUUUGAUGUCGACUUUUACUUAUAUUUUGCACUCUUUUCACAGGCUUUAUUGAAGAGUAUUAAACUUGUAAGUGAGGUUAUUUUUGUGAGUAGUUGUAACAAAUUGAGACUAGCUAUUGGGGUUGCAAUUGCUUAUUGUGUAAAGAUAGAUUGGGUUUUAGCCAAUAAAUGAUCGAAUUAAUUGUUGAAUAAGCCAUUCACUGAGUGAGAUUUCGUAGAGUAGAAUCAAUUCCGAACUACGUUAACAAAUUUUGUUUGCAUACCUCUUUUUUCUUUUUUGUUUUUUUCUUUGUUCAAACUCAUGUCUAAACACUUAUUUAGACAACACUUUGAACAAGUGGCAAAUUGACUAGUUUUUUCAAUUUUUUUCAUCUACAAAAAAAUGUAAUCUCGCCAUUGCUCUUUUAUCUUGUUUGUUGAAGUAAAAAACUUAAUAAAAAGAAUAAAGUAACAUCUAGUCCUUGAAUUUGGUAAUUUUUCUUAACUUGGUCAUUGGAUUUUUUUUUUUGUUCAUAGUAGUCUAGAAAUUUGACAACUUUUCCUAAUUUGAUUCUUGAAUUUAAAUUUUAUUAAAACAUGAUGAUAUUAAGAAAAAAUGUUAAAUUUCAAGAUUAAUACAGACCAAAAAUAAGAAAAAUUGACAAAUUCUUAUACGAAAUGUUACUUUGUCCCUUAUAUUUAUUUCACUAACCAUGUAUAAUUUUGUAUACUUUCAACACAUCUAAUAUUAAUGCAUAAUAUAAUAGUGUAAGUGCUAAAAAUAAGAUCUAGAAAAGAUGGAUUAAGAGGAGUCGAACAACUUGUUUACAUAACAUCCAACUUGUUCCAAAAAAAAAAAAACACAGAGCCAGAUGGGGGUAAUUACAUUACAAGUUGGUCAAUAUAUUAUAUAAUUUAUGUACAACUUGAUGAACUUUUAAUAUUAUUAGAAACUAAAAACAUGGUGAAGUGAUCCUAAAAACAUGUUCCUCACCGGUCCAUUUAUCUAUUUUAACAACCCACCGGCUUCUUUUUCUACUAUUAAACCCAUCACCGGCACCUUUCCUCGUCGGAGCUUUUCUGAUCACCAGCAAACCAUCUCCGAUGGGCAAAAAAUGGGUCUUCAAUUCAUCAACAUUGUUCCAACCAUGUCCUUUAUGAAGGGCAUUGUACCCUACAAUAAGGGCACCCCUAUUAUGCUUUGUACCCUCUUGUGCUGCCUUCAAUACUUCCUUGUGACCGUCGAUGUUGCAGUCGAUGAGCACGAAAUCGGCGGUUUCGUAAUCGUUUAGGACCAUUUUGGCAUCUCCGAUGACGAAGGUUAAUGACCCUCUGUAGUUGCCUAGUGCAGUUUUCAAUGCGACGUAAUCGUCAAGACUAUUCAAGAUGCAUACUACUUUGCCACCAGUUUGACGUGCCGCAGCGAUUAAAGCUAGCGCGGUAGAUCCUGCUACGCCGGCACAUGUCAUUACCAUGAGCUGCGCAUUGUUGCCCGCCGCCAUGGCGGAUAUGAACUCCGAUACGUCUGGUUCUUUGCCUCUUUUCCCCUAUAAAACAAAACACAUCAAAAAUAAGUACGUAAGUACAUACAUACAUACAUAGCAUCAAUGGACUUAUGUGGGUUUUGGUUACCAUUUUCAAUGCUCGGAGAUAAGCUUUGGUGGCGUUCUCAGCAGACCAAAAAGCCAUAUUGUGUUUUGCUUGAAACUUGAAUAGUUGAAAGUAUAUGUUUGAUAAACCGUACAUUUGCCAUUGGUUUUAUAUAUACAGAGGGGUACAAUUAAUAUUAUUAUAUUUGCAUGAGGCAGGUUCUUAAGAGAUUCUACACGACAGCUCGAUAAUAUUUUUAUAUAAUUAUAGAUAUAUUCAUCCAUUUUACUAUUUGAGCUUAACUUUAUUCGAAUUGAGAUGAUAUUUAAUUAAACCCUCAUGAAAAAAUAAUUUUAAGAAUUAAAAAAAAAAAAAACUUUACUAUCACUUAUUUUAACAAUUUAUUGAUAAAUAUUAAAUAAUAAUAAUAACCAAAUCUUAUUUUAAAAUACAAAUAUAUCAAAAUUUAAAUAAAACGAUCGUAAAUCAAAAUUUAUAUAAAUAUGUAGUAUAAUAAAUUGAAAAUGAAAGGUGAAUGUAUUUUGAAUUAAUAUGCAAUAUGCAAUAUCCAAUAUCCCCCACCCCCAAAUGGGUAUGGGGCAAAAUGAAAUGUUAGUAGCUCAAAACUUCAUGACAUCAUUAUAUAUGGUAUGGAGCUAGCAGUUUGCAGCCAUAUUCAUGUCUUGUUUUGAGGAUAAUGUCUUGCCCACUUGCUUGUAUAGAUUAUCAUUAGAGCCAUAAAUCAACAAUACAUCUUAGUUUUUGUUUGUUUAUUAAGAUAAAUAAAUAUAUGUAAAUUAUACUUAAAGUUAUUAAAUUAUUAAUAAGUUUAUAUUUUAGUAAUUUAAUUUCGAAAAGUUACAAAAUAAUUACUAAAAUAUUCAAAAAAAAUUAUUUAAGUCACUGAAUUUUUAAAAUUGUUGUUGUAUAGCCUUCUUUGUUCAUACUAUCGGCUUCAAUCAAAAGCUGUCAUUCUAUUUCUUUUUUACAAUUCAAUUUUUUUUAUAAAACUUUGAAUGUUAUGAAUCUACGAACCAAAAUCUAAGCAAUUUUUUCUCUAAUAUUUGACAUUGAUUGUCAAAUCGACUUGGAUCUGAGCUAAGUUUCUCUACUCGUCAAUGUGUAUUGAUCUAUCAUACUAAUCAUUGAAUUGUCACUUAAAACUCACUAACUGAACUUUAAAAAAAAAUUUAACAAUUCAAUGACUUAAAUAAAAACUUUCGAAUAGUUUAAUGUCAAUUUUGUAACUUUUUGAAAUUGAGUGACCAAAAUAUAAACUUACUAAUAGUUUAGUAACCUCGGAUAUAAUUUUCUAUUUUUGAAAUUCAUUUAUUAAAUAAACCAAACACGAACAUAACAUAUUCAAUUCAUUUAUGUAUAUAACCAAACUCAUUUUUAUUCAUUUAAAUCACUUUUUAUAAGUUUUAUAAAAUUUCUUCAUUUAGACCUAUUGGUUCAAGCUAAAUUCAUUACAACCCUACAACAUUGGGGAAGCUUGACAACCUAGAAUAUAUCGAAAACCACUUACAGCCCACAGUGUUGAAUCUAUUUUAUAACAUAAAUCUUGCCUGAAAAUCAAGAUCCAUGUACAAAAAAAUUAAUGAAUAAAGCAGAUGAGCAGAGAAAGAACAUGUUGUAGGCAAUGGCUCCCACAUGUUGCCAACAAGUCCCUGGAACAGUUGCCCGCACCAGUCGUGAACCAAUGGUUCUUGUUUAUAAAUUUGUGACCUUCCUAGAUAUAGCUCAAAUCCUAGAAAUUUUGAAUCAUUGGAAUUUGAUUUCUACUUUACGCCAUUCCCAAAGUAUUCAGCUUUUAAGUGAAGAGUUAAUUCCAUUAUAAAUCCUUCAACUAUCGCUUAGAUUUCAAAUCGGUCCUUAAGCUUUAAACGUUUUAAUUGUGUAUUGACAUAUCAAUAUCGUAUCAAUCAAGUUAUUUCGUUAACUUUUUGUUAAUUUGGCAUUAAAUGUUGGUUCAAGCUAGCAUGAGCAUUUGAUACAAGUAUGUGUGUAAUUUUAAUGAUAUCAUACAACAACGAAGUCAAAAAAUUUAUUUGAGGAGUUAAAAUAAAAUUCUAAAACUUUGAAGUGGCGAAGCUAAAAAUUUUAUUCUAAAAGAGCUUAGAUUAUAGAAUUAAUUUUUAUGAAGGGCCAACAUUACAAAUUUUCUAUUGAUUUGAAUGGUUAAGAUGUUAGAUUAUAGAAACCGUAUGCUUGUUUAACAUUAACAUGUUAGAUAAGCUAAGAGUAGGAGCCUUGUCUCCCCUUGGUUAAAUUGUAUAAUUCUCUUUGUAAUCCCUCUUAAAUAUUAAAUGUUCAAUUUUAAUCCUUUUUUUCGAUCAAAUGAAAAAAAAAUGUUUUUUUUGGCCAUUACAAAAAUUAUUUAUUCAAUUUAGAUCAUUUUAACUCACGGUUCUUUAGCUUUGCUCCUCUAUCUACCCAAAAAAGAAUCUUAAUUCUCUCAAUCCCCUUAAUAUAAGAUUUCUAAUUUCAUCUUUAAUACAUGUUUACAAUUUAAUCCACAUACUUUAAGAAUGAUCCACAUCAUACCUUAAUUAACAUUUAACGCUUAAACAGAUAAUUAAGUUGAUCGAUUCUUUCAAGGCUUUUUAAAGAUCAAUAAAAAUUUAAAAACUUAAAAAUGUUUAAUACAAUUAACCCAUAAAAAUACAACCAUUCUUCAUUCAACAUUAAUGUUUUACAAUGGAAAACAAACCUCCAAGUUUGCAGUAGAUAUUAUUACCAUCAUCAUUGAGCUUAAAAAUUCCCACAUAAAUAAAUUAGCUUCACCGGUCAAGAGAAUAAAUAAUAUUAUUAAUAAUGGAAAAUUAAUUUCAAAAAUGGAAAUUUUGAUGUGCAAAACCAAUCAAGUUGAUAUUUUUUUAAAAUAAUAAUAAUAAUAAUAAUAAACAUUGGAAUAAGGUUAUAUUAAUGAUUUUUUUUUCCCUAACAGCCAACACUAGAAUCUAAGUAAGAUUAUAUUGUUUGUUUUUCUCAGGCAUAUGCAUUGACAAUCACAGCCUACCCAUGAUGUUUGUAUUGUUUUAUGGCCUCAUUUGCAAAUUUUUUUCCUUUUUUUGGGGGGAUUCUUGAAAGCUUAUUUUACUUGUUUCUUUCUCUGUGUUUUAUUCGUCUUGUCAGUUCUGUAAACAAUUUCCUUUGAUCUGCAUGAUUUGUUUGUUGGGGUUUAAUGAGAAUUUAAAAAAAAUUAGGAAUUUAAUUGAAAUUUUUUUAAAUUAUGAGACUGUAAUGAGAAUUUCUAGAAAUUUUAAAAGAAUUUAAUUGAAAUUUUCAAAAAGUUUCAAAAGAAUAAUGAAAAAGAAAAAAAAAAUGGAGGAGGGCGUCUCCAAUAUUUAGUUGUGCCGUUAUAAGAAGGCAAGUAUUCAAAAUAAUUUACUCUUUCUUUUUUUUUUCCAAGUUAUUUGUUUCUUAUCUUUUCUUUUUACUCAGCGAUGGUGUCAACCUUUGGGAUGGCUAUCACUUGUUUUUUUCUCUCACCAACCCUUUCCUUUUUUUCUUUUUCUCAUUCAUUACACAUAUCUUCUCUUUUUUUAGUUUUUAGAUCUAUUUUGUGGGUAUUUUUGUUAUCUUCAUAAGUUGUGAUAGACAAAUGACAAUGCCUGUCGUUUGCUAAAACUCCAUCGACCACCAAUAGUUUUUCUUGGAAAGUGGGUGACUCUUCGUUAACUUCUUACUUUUGAGAGUAUUUCAGAAAAAUAAAUGAUUUCACCUGUUGAUUUGGACCCAUAUUGUCUUAAGUUUUAUAUAUUUUUUGUUUGUUUAAUAAGUCUUUAGUUUUAAAAAAUUUUAUCUACUUCUAUAGCACAUUUUUUAGUCUUGUUUAUGCAUGUAAUUUUAGUUUUACAAGUGAUUUUAUGAAUAUUUUUUUUGCCAUCCUCUGUAGUUUGGUGAAUGGUUGAUUUUUGCUCGCCGUUUUGGACCAUCCAGGGUUGAUUUCCUUAUCAUAUUAAGUGCUUGCAAUCACCCCAAAUGUGUCAUUCUUGAGUUGUGACAAAACCAAUUGUCAACAUGUCAUAAUGUUCUAUUGAUGCUGAGGCUAAAGUCUUUGUUGUGUUGAUGGAGCUUGUUAUUCACCAUCUACGAAGAGUGUUUGCUAUUAUUUUCUCUCUGAAUUGUAUGGUUCCAUUUAUUGAAUGAAUUAAUUAAUUUACCUUUCAAAAAAAUGAUUAAAUUACUUUCUUAGUUUUUAGAAAUUUAUAGUUUUACAUAGGGAUGUAAUCGAGUCAAAAUUUGGAGUUUGAUACUCAAUUUGAAUUCAAUCAAACGUCUAUUUUUAAGUUUGAGUUCGAGCUCGAUUAAGUUCAUUUACCAAUUUUUGUACUUGAGGUUAAGCUUGACUCAAUAAUUAAGUUUAAGGUUAAUAAUAUAUAUUAAAAGUAAUAAUUUAAUUUAAUAAUAUAUAAAUACAAAAAACUCGACAAGGCUUGCAAGCCAUUUGAAUCAACCCAAAUUCAACUUGAUCGAUGGCUCUAGCUCAGCUUGAUAAUUACCAAAUCGAGUUCAACUUAUUUUUAAAUUGAACUUAAAUAACUUGUGAGCACCAAUAUAUCAUUUACACAAUUAAUUUUAUCUAAACUUUUUAAUACAAAAUCCAUGCCUUUGGUCCUUAUUUCGACCCUGACAUAAAAUUCUUAACUUGGCCCCUAAUAAGAGGCAAAACUCUCCUACCAUUGUAUUCUUCAUCCACUAAACUCUUGCAUAGAGAUGCUUAUUAUACCUAUUCAUGGACUGGCUCGAUUUAAAAAAAUUCAAACCUAAACUUAUUUUCAGUCUCCUUGAAAAGCUCAUUACAUUGUUCAAAAAUUAAUAAAAUAUUAACAUCAAGCUGAGCUAAAAAAAGCUUUAUCCAAACCCGUCCCAAAAUUUCCAUUUCUCACAAGGAUUAAUUCACCAUGGCUUAAAUUUUUAAUACAUCUCCAAAUUUGAAAACCUUCUGAUUAAGAUUUGAAAUUAUUAGAGUAAUUGUCAUAUCUUGGGUGGGUCUAAUAUAAGGUAUAAUUAAAACAAGCCGCAUAUUUAAUACCUAAAUUAACGAUUAAAAUAAUAAAAAAAAGCUUGAUUAAUGUAAUAUGAUACUCAAUAAUAUGUUAACGUAAUGUUGAUUGAAUAUUAGUUAGAUUGGUAUGAACAUUGUUAUCAAUACAAGAGAAGUAAAUUUGAGUGCGUUAAAGCACAUUAUCUUUCUAUUUAUAAGUUGAGGAGAGACUGUGGAUAAUUCUAGGACUUGUGUCAAAAUAACAUAUAUGAUCAGAAUCUAUAAUGUAAUUAUUAAAAAAAAAACAAACGAUAUUAAUACAAAUACAAACAAUUCAAGCAAAUUUGAAAUACAAAACCAUUUUCUUCUAUAUUUUCAGUCAGCAUGUACAAAUGUCACAUGAAAACGAACAGUUAGAGCCGGAAUACCUGUACAAAAACAAGGAAGCAAUGUCGGAGUGCUUCCUGUAUCUAUAAUUACAAGAAAAUUUAUCCAAUUUCCCGAUUGUGGACUUUUUAGAACUCCUCGGAAUCAAAAUCAGGGUUCGAUGGGAAUUCAAGACCCUGAAGUGCUGGCAUUCGUCGUAAAUCCUCGUCCGAGUAAGCUGGAAUGAACCAGUAUCGCUUGUCUGUUCCAAACACCUGUAUAUAUACAAGCACCAAAACUUGAGCAAAACGAAGAUCGAUGACAGUUAAUACAGCAUACAGACCAGCUAUAAAGAAUGCAAACUCCAGUAAAGCUUCCAGAAGCCAUAAGGACUUGUCAAACAAAGAUAAAAAAGUUAACCUGUUCAAAAUUUUUCUUUCGGCCUAGGUCAUAUCGCCAUUUCGGAGUAGUUUUCUUCUCAUAUGCCUGUUCGAAAGACGACCAAAGAAUUUUUUUUUCAGUAAAUCCUAAGUCUAUUUAUAUUGCAUUUUAAUCCUAUAAAGGGAGAAUACACCAUGUAUCCAGCCGAAAGAUGGACCUAAAUUCUCGUUAGGAUAUUCACUUGAUGUGCUUGGCGUUACAGCAUUUGAGUUUUUUCCGAAAACAAAUAGUUUCACAUGUGCACGCACUAUUAUGACACGGUAAUAGAAUUCAAAUGAAUACGAUACCUCAAUAGUUGUGGUGUUAGCGGACACCAAAGAUACGUGCAUGAUCAAAAACCCAAAGACACUCAAUGCAAACGCCAGAUUCAAAACUGUGACACGAGAAACUUGUAAUACUUUAGCACGUCAUCAGGAAAAAAUUGUUGAACAGGUUAGAAGAAAACUGGCCGAGCAACCCGUACCGAAGGACAGAAAAGUUGUAGCAAGGGUGGCAGUAGUUCCGGGAAUUUCUUCAUCGCUAAAGAAUGCUAAGAAAUGAGAGAAUAAGGCCAACGUCACAAGACUUGUCUCGAGGAAUGUGUAGAACUGCAUCGAGGUUUAAAAUCGAAGUCAAACGAACAGCAAGCAAACAGAACCAUUACUUCAACCAAUGUUACAAUCAAGCAACAAGCCAGCAAAGAAACACUCGGCAAGCUCGAUAUAUGCAUUUUGAAAAUAGAAACGAUAAAACUGAUAUAGAUAAAGCAGGCAUACCAAGAACAGAAGGAAAUACUUGUAAUUCAAUGCACCAACACAAUUGACAACCCAUACACAAUGAUGGUCCAUCUUUAGCACACACCGCCCACCUAAAACCGAUCAUCAUGAACAACGAUUUCAUAAGCAGAUAUAAAAAGAAAAGGAACCGAUAAAUCUCGAACGUACAAACAGAACAAUGAUGGCAACGAGGUGGUUUAAACUGGUUGCACUUCCGACAAUAUCGAAUCCUUUGACUUGACAGGGCCGGCUGCAAACCGUCAAACUCCGACUCAUUCAAUGGGUCAACCUCCCCUCUUUCCUCAUCCCAAGCCGGUUUCCAGUUAGGCGGCACAGUACCGGAAUCAGUUAAAACGACAGUUAAGUAACUCCAUAACAGCAUAACCAACUGCAGAAUCACAUCAAAUUUCCAACAUUUAGACCCAAAUCAUACAUUCUUCGAAGGUUUAGGGUUUAAGUUUUUAGGGUUUCAGGUUUGAUCCGAUUACACUAAUCACAAUCCCCAAAACCCAAUUUAUUAAUUUAGAAUCUAAAAUUGGAAACCCUAAAUCUAAAAAAGGGGUCCAAAAGGAAGCUUGUGCUUCAAAUUUAACCCAAGCUUAUAAUUUUAGCAAUUAAAAAUGAAAUUUUUACAGACUCAUAACAUCUGAACACAAAAAGGGAAUAAAAUUUAAGACCAAACACAAAACCCCAUCACAAAAAAGGGUUUAAUUUUAGGGAUUUACCAAGAAAUGAAAUAAGAUCAAUACAACAACAGCAAUGAACGAGUGAAGGCCACCAUCGAACAAAGCAGGUCCGUAAUAGGUGAAAACUACGGCGUAAUAAGCGACACCGACAACCCCUAAAACCAAGAGGAUCAUGAUCGAGCCAAGGCCUCUGAGGACCGUACAAAACUUGAACACGUUCCAAGCCAUAGUUGUUCCAGAUCUAUGCAUAAUACCCAGACAAUAAAAUUACAAAACAAGAGACAAAAAAUUGAUCUUUUUUCGGGUUUCUUUUUAUGGUCCUGACAACUGCUUGAAAAACAAGUGAAAAAUAAAGGUUGUCUUUGAAUUACUUAGAGAACAAGGAUGAUACUGGAAUUAGAACAAAAAAACAGGAUUUUAUUAAAAUUUUGCUCUGAGAUUUUUGGUAUUAAAAUAGGAAAUCUAGUUUAAUCUAGGGUUUAUGGGAUUUGUGAUUCAGAUAAGUAUGGAAUCCAUGUUACUAUACAGAAACGAGAGAGAGAGUGUGAGUCAGUGACUACUAAAGGCCAUAUUUAGUUCCUUUGCAUUUUCUGGUAAAAAUGUUCUUCCAGUCCUUCUUAUUUUUACGAUUGAGUAACUUGGUCCCAAUGAGAAAAAUUGGAGCAAUUUAAUCCUAUCAAUUUCAAAAGUGAGAAAUUAAGUACAAUUAAUCAAUGUGUUAAUGUUUUCUGCCAACUAUACAUAAAUUUUAUUGGUAUAAUAACAAAUUUAGCUUUCAUAGUUUACACAUUCUGUCAAUUUAGUAAAGAUUUUACAAAUUUAGCUUGCAACAUUUGUGUAAAUGUGUAAAUGUUUAGGAUAAAUUUUUUAAUUAUUUUAGAACCAAGACUAAAUUAACAAAACAUGUAAACUUAAAAGGGUUAAUUUUUUGUUAUAUCAAUCAAAAUUAUGUAUAAUUGAUUGAUUGUCCUUAAUUGUUCUGAGUUUUUAAAUGGACCAAUUUGCUCAAUUUCAAAUUUUAGAGUGAUUGGAGAAGUCUUUUUACCCAUUUUCUAAAUGGGUAAACUACAUCCAAUGUCUAUAAAAUAUUAGUAUGUUUUGGUCACUCAACUUUAAAAAUCUUAUAAAAUUAUCACUGAACUAUUCAAAAGUUUUCAUUUAAGUCACUGAUCUAUUUGGAAGUUUUUAUUUAAGUCAUUACACGGUUAAAAAAUUUUUUUAAUUCAACUAGUGAGCUCCAAGCGAUAGUUCGAUGAUCAAUACAUUAAAUCAAUAUCCAUCAACAAGUAGGAAAUCAUACCUUAGAUCUAAGUCGAUAUAAUAAUUAGUGUCGAAGAUCGAACAAGAAAAUUGUUUGAAUUUUGGUUGGCGGAUCUGUGACGUUCUUUCAUAAAAGAAACUAAAUAUUGUAAAAGAGAAUGAGAAGUAGAGCUUUUGAUUGGUUCAAGUAUUGUGACCAAAGAAGACCAUAAAACAAUGAUUUUAACAACCCAAUAACUUAAAUGAAUGUUUUUUAAUAGUUCAAUAAUCAUUUUUGUAACUUCUUAAAAUUAAGUGACCAAAUAAUAAAUUUACUAAUAAUUUAAAGACUUUCAGUAUAACUUAUACUAUUUUGAACUAUACCAAAGGAAUGGUCGAGCCAAAAGCCAAACAAAGCAUAGUAGUCCAAGCCUAAUGGUAAUCUUGACAUUCGAUUUAACAUUGUUACAACAACAACAAUACCACGAGAUAAUACAUAUUACGAGUUUUCGAUCACUUAAAUAAAAAAACAUCAACAAAACAGGAUUUAGAAACCAAACAACAUAAUAACCACUAAAAUCUCCAAACAAUUUAAUACAAAUACAGGACAGGCAACAAGGUCUUAUUGUUGGUUUCUUCUCACUCAAGUUAAUGUACAGCAUCAGGUUGUCUUUCAGGCGAGGCAUCUAAGAAUUCCGGUAACGCCUUCAAUGACUCGAAUAUCCGACACAAUCUAGGGUACUUGGACUGCAAAAAGAAAACCCAGCACAUACGGUCGGUUUCUUGAGUGCUAAUUAAUCUGACAUACAAGUUUCGAGAAUUAAUGGAGCAUAAAAGUGAUGUUUUAAGCGUUCAAAGACUCAUUUACCAUGUCGAUUUUAAACCUUUGCAUCGCCACAGCUAUCUGAGGUGCCAUAAAUACAUCAGCCUGAGACAGACAAAUCAAAGAACAUGUAAGAAUUCAUCAAGGGUUUAACAUCAAAUCGGAAAGACUCGAACAAUGACGAAUGUACCAUGUAUACUUCGUCUCCGCUUGCAUAUUUGCCGUUAAUGUCUUUCAGCAACUUCUCGAGAGCUGCAAUGCAAGUAAAGCAAGCAAAAAGUUGCGUUAAGUAUUUCGCGAAACUUCGAUUAUCGGUUAGAGGCUCUUUUUACGUAUACACGACGACACGAACAAGAAUGAAAGUUAAUUAUGAAAUGAAAUCACUUACCAUUGAAACCUUUUUCCACAUUAGUUUGAGCAAACAAAAGUGAUUCUUGUGGACCAACUUUUUGCACAAGAUAUUUCUAAGAAACAUGAAAAGAGGGUAUCAAAUUGAAUUAAAACAGGAACAAAUGAAUGAGCAUAAAUAUAUAAAUACAUGUGUGUGUAAAUAUAUAUAACAGAAUAUACCAAGUUUGACAGCAUAUGAAGAGGCUGUAUGCUAGAGGUGACUAUGCUGGCAACCUGUGGAUGAUAAACUAGUUAGUGAACUGUCAAUUGAGCAGGUGGGGUCAAUUUGAGUUUUAAAAAUUUCUGAUUAUUUUGGGAUUUGGUCAGUUUUAGUUUCGGGCCAUUUGGGUUUAUGCCAUUCAGGUUUGAGGGUCAGGCUUUUCAAUGCAAGUCUAUUUCGUGAUUUGUCACUGUUUUUUUUUUUUUUUUGUAUAAUGACAGGUUUUCUUAUCCGUUUUACGGUCUGAGCAUAAUCCUCUUCGAGUCGAGGGUAGUAGUCAAAUUUGAUAACUUUAAUUUCAAGUCAUUUUGAGUUACUUGUUCCUAGGUAACUUCAGAUUUAGAAUUUUGAUGAGUUUUGGUUGUUGACAUUUCAUAAUCAAAUCGGGAUAGAUUACUUUAAAUUCGGGUUUUACAGGAUCGGAUCAUAAUCUAUGAUGUAAAGCCAUAUUCCAAGAUACUUACCUGAAGAUUCAGAGCUUUAAGCUGGGGAUCAGCUGGUAAGAGAGCUAUUUGAGGGUAUUUUUCUUCCAAAUACUAACAAAAAUAAGUACCAAAUUAAACAAUUCAGCUGAAAUGAACGCAAAAACACCACAUCAAAUGACAAUAUCAACAAAUUCCAUACACUAAAUUAUUAGUAAGUUUAUGUUUUGAUCGCUCGACUUCAAAACGUUAAAAAUGACCACUAAUUAUUUGAAAAUUUUAAGUCACUAGACUAUUAAAACUGUUGUUGUAUAGCAUUCUUUGUUUGCACCGUUUGCACCAAUCGAAAUUCUUUCCCCUUUUCUUUUACAGUUCAGUUUGUUAUCAUGAAACAACUUCGAGCAUCACGAAUUUGCGAACUAAAAUCCAAACAGCUUUCUUCUUCAAUCUCCAACACUAACUGUAAGAUCAACUUAGAUCUAAGGCAUUUCUUCUAUUCAUCGAUAGGUACUAAUCCACAGUACCGAUCGUCAAAUUGUCACUUAGAACUCGCUAGUCGAAUUUUUUUUUAAAAAAUAAAAAAAAAAACUUUCGAAUAAUUCGAUGACUUAUAUAAAAACUUUCAAAUAAUUCGGUGAUUAAAAUGAAAACUUUCAAAUAGUCCAGUAAUUAUUUUGUAAUAUUUUGAAGUUGAGUGAUUAAAAUGUAAACUUACUAAUAGUAUUGUGACAUUGGGUGUGAUUUAUUUAUUUAUUUAUUUUUAAAUACAAGAGGAGGACAGCCCUCGAAAUGGAAAAUCGCUUUUUAGUCCUUUUAUAAAUGAAAAAAUUAGAAGUUUAUAUAGGAUAAAUUGUACUUUACCUCCUUAAAAAUAAAAAUAAAAAAAAUUAUUUAAUCCUUUCCUAAAUGAUAAAAUCAUAAGUUAUAAUUAAAUUCCAACCCCUAAAAGAAUUCCUAAUCGUUGCUGUAUUGGAAUUAAGAACACUAACCAACAAGAUUGCAUAUGAAUCAGACACGACAACAUCACCAUCAUCAAGAACAGGAACAAAAUGCAGAGGGUUCAAUUUCUCAAACUCUGCAACAACAGCAGCAACAACAAAAGAAAAAAAAUUGUCUUUUUAGUAUGUUUCCAUUCUACCAUAUGUAUGUAUGUAUGUAGUAUGUAUGUCUGUAUAGCUCACCUGGUGUAAACUGCUCUCCUUUUGAAAGAUUUACAGCUUUGUACUCAUACGAAAUCCCUAACAAAAACCCAAUUAAAAAAUCAGUACCAAAAUUAUUGGAAACCUACUGAAUUAAUGAAUUCGAAGAGAAACCCAAAUUAGAUAUAAGAGGGAAUAAGCUGAUGAUUAAAGUUAAAACCUUUGAGGUUUAAACUUUAAAGCGAAGCGAACUCGCCAUGAACAUGAGCUUUGCCAGUAUGAAUACAGAGCAAGCUUUGGAGACUCACCAAUUAUCUGUUAACAACAAAAUAAAAUAAAAAUAAUGAGUGGAAUUUGGGAUUAAAUUGAACAAAAAUAGAAACAGCAUGGUGUUAAAAUCAUACCGCUGCCAUUGUUGGAAAGGUUGAAAGCUCAAAGCUUCAGACAGAGUGGCAGGUAGUUGUUGGUAUUUGGUAGUUUUUUGCAAUAACGUGACUGACUUUUAUAAUAGAGAGAAUCUCGUGUGACAUUAGAAUAUAUUGUUUUUAUUUAAAAUAUAGAUGAAUUAAUUAAAAAGUAAAUUAAUUUUUUUAUAAAAAUUUUAUCAGAUAAGUUUUUUUAUAUCAAAAUAAGGUAUACAUUUAGUUAUUAUGUUAGUCAUGCGAAAUUUUAACAGUAAAAAUAAAUGAAAUUUUUAAUAGAAAAAAUUAAUUUGUUCUUUGAUUUAACGUAUUAGGACUAAUUUAUCUAUUUUUUUAAUAAAGAUAGUAAAAUAUAAUCUGACUUCUUAUAUAAGACCUCCAUAGCAUUUUUACCUCAUAUUGUUGAUCUUGCAAACAUAUAUAGACGAACUUUGUUAACAAAUGAAUUUUGAUUUUUCGACACGUGAGAUUAGAAUUAAAUUAUGAAUGAUACAUAUACGGAUGGGAUAAGAAUUAUUUUUCAAUUUCACUUUAAUUUUAAAAAAAAAGAUUUCAUUUACAAAAUCAUAAAAAAUUUAAAAAUAUUAACUAUUUUAAAUAGUAAAUAAUAUUUUUUAAAACAAAAAAAAUGUUAAAUCUAUUUCAAUUUUACAUUAUUCGAUUUUUUUUAAAAGUACAUUCACUCUGAUUCAUUGCGGGGCUCGAAUUUCAUUGUGAUGUUAUGGGUAUUUUGAGUGUUGUUUGUGGCUCGAUGAUGGGUUUGGAUCGUGGUGUUAGAAAUCAAACCAAACUUUUCAAAGUCAAAAAUUACAACCAAAGAGUCUGUAUCCAAAUUGGUUUCUACCUCAUACAACUUGGUUUUCAAAUUGGAUACAACUUUACAAAUCCGAUAAAGCUUAUCAUGUUGGAAACUUCAUGAAAAAUCAAGAUGGUAGCAACAUUGAAAAGUUCAACAAGGCAAGGCAUAUAAUCGAUAAGCAUUAUCAUUUAUGAUAUACUUAAGGGAUAAGAAAUCAUUAAGGUAACUAGACUAUGUCUAUAUAUAUGUAUGUAUAGUUCAUGUGUUGUGAGUGCUAAAAAAAUUAGCUAGAGUUUGAGAGCAAAAGAAGGUGUUGUGAGUAUAGAAAGGAAAAUCUAGCAGCAGCUAGUAUAGAGAGAAAAAAUAAAAGAGAAUUUGUAUUUUAUUUUAUUUGUGUGUAAUAAAAAUUAGUAUUUGAGUUAUUUUUAUUAUUACGCUUCCAACAAGUGGUAUCCGACCUAGGUUCGUGUUGACAUCACAAUGGUGAACAUGAUUCAAUCGCAGAUCCUGAAAUUAACAAAGACAAAUUAUGGAAACUGAAGCAUCUAGAUGAAGGCUUUGCUCGGUUCUCAAAAUUGUUGGGAUGUUGUUGAAGAAGGAUAUGUCGAGCCCGAAAAUGAAGCUGCCAAAGCGGCUUUGACAAAUGAAGAAAAAAGAGUAUUGAAAGAAGCUCGUAAAAAGGAUAAGAGGGUGUUGUUUUUUAUUUUUCAAGGCAUUGAUGAAUCAACCUUUGAAAAAAUUUCAGAUGUGAAUACAUCAAAUGAAGCAUAGGGAAGUUUGCAAAAAUCCCUUCAAGGAGCGGAAAAGGCUAAAAAGGUACAUUUACAAACCCUUAGAGCUGAAUUUGAGACGUUGAAAAUGAAACCAUCGGAAAGUGUUGAUGAUUAUGUUAUUCGGGUGAAAACGGUGGUAAAUGCAAUGAAAAGAAAUGGAGAAACACUUGAUGAUGUUAGAGUAAUGGAAAAAAUUUUGCGGUCAUUGACACGCAAAUUUGAUUAUAUGGUGGUUACCAUUGAAGAGUCAAAAGAUUUAUCAUAAAUAUCAAUCAACAAACUUGUGGGUUCCCUCCAAGCCCAUGAGCAUAAAAUGAAGCUAAAUGAUGAUACUGGAAAUUCGGACCAAGUCUUGCAAAGUAAGUUGUCCUUCAACGAAAGUGGAGCUAGGGAUAAUUUUGGACAAGGAACGAGCAAUCGUGGAGGAUACCGUGGAGGAUAUAGAGGUAGAAAUAGAGGUGGACGAGGAACACAUGGACGAGGCAAUCAAUCAUAUGGUAAAGUCCAAACAAGUGACGAAUAUCAAACAUCGAGUCGUGGACAAGGAGCUCGAGGCCGAGGUCGAGGCAGAGGUAGAUUUCAACAAGGAAAUAAAUCUCAGGUACAAUGUUAUAAUUGCAAUAAAUAUGGCCAUUAUAGUUACGAGUGUAGAUCAAAUCCCAAUAUGAAGGAGAGAAAUCAUGUAGCAGCAGCCAAAGAAGAAGAAAACGUGGAAUCUAAUGUAUUCCUCACCUAUAAAGAAAGUGAAAAAUCAAGAAAAAAUAUUUGGUAUCUUGAUAAUUGCACCAGCAAUCACAUGUGUGGCAGAAAAGACUUAUUUUCAGAGUUGGAUGAGAAUAUUCAUGGACAAGUAACGUUUGGAGAUGAAUCGCAUGCCACGGUCAAAGGCAAAGGCAAAGUCAAAGUCACUAUUAUACAAAAGAAUGGAGAAAAAAAGUUCAUUUUAGAUGUUUAUUACGUACCAGCUUUGAAAAGCAAUAUCAUCAGCCUUGGAUAGCUUCUAGAAAAAGGAUAUGAAGUACAUAUGAAAGAUUCCAUGCUCGCCCUAAAAAAUAAGAAUGGUGAAUUAAUUGCCCAAGUUGAUAUGACGCGUAACCGUCUAUUUACUAUUGACAUUGAAUUUGGAGAGGUGAAAUGCAUGAAGAAUAUAAUUAAAGAUGAAUCACGGUUGUGGCAUUUAAGGUUCGGGCAUCUUGGUUUUUCUGGUCUGAAGCUAUUUUCAAAAGAAAAUAUAGUGAAUGGGUUGCCAUAAAUUAAUCCUCCUGAUCAACUAUGUGAAGCUUGCAUUAAAGGAAAACAACACAGACAGAGUUUUGAAGCGAGAAAAACUCGACGAGCUAAGAAACCAUUGGAGAUCGUACACUCCGAUAUAGCAGGUCCUUUUGAUAUACCAUUACUUGGUGGAAACAGGAAAUAUGUUACUUUUAUUAAUGAUUUUAGUAGAAAAAGUUUAUAUAUCUUCUUAAAACAAAAUCAGAAGCAUUUGACAAGUUUAUCGAGUUCAAAGCCAUGGUAAAAAAACAAAGUGGACAUUUCAUUAAAAUACUCAGAACUGAUAGAGGUGGUGAGUAUACUUCAAAGCUAUUUGAAAGCUUCUACAAUGAACACGGAAUUAUUCACCAAUUGACAACUGCGUACACGCCACAACAAAACGGAGUCACUGAAAGAAAGAACCGCACUAUUCUUGAUAUGGCAAGAAGCAUGGUUAAAGGUAAGCAUUUACCAAGAACUUUCUAGGCCGAAGCUGUUCAAUGUGCUGUUUAUUUGUUGAACCGGUGUCCAACAAAAAGUGUGAAAUACAAGAUGCCAAAUGAAGCUUGGAGUAAUCAAAAGCCAGGAGUCGGACAUCGCAAGAUUUUUAGAUGCAUCGCAUAUGCUCAUGUUCCUGACCAGAUGAGAAAGAAGCUUGACGAUAAAGGAGUAAAAUGUAUUUUCAUUGGUUAUGAAAAGAGAAGCAAGGAAUAUAGGUUAUACAACCCUCUCAACAAGAAAGUUGUUAUUUCAAGAGAUGUCGAAUUCGAUGAAGCUGAUUAUUGGAGAUAAAGUGAAGAAGAAAAGAAAAUUGAAGGAUUAUUUUUCAGUGAUGACAAAGACAACGACUUCAUUAAUCAAGAACAAGGCAACGAUCAAAGCCCUCCUCCAAGUCCUAUUGCAACAACUCCUACAACAUCAUCAUCACCAACCAGCAGCAAUACCAGCAACUCAGAAGAAGCACCUGCAAGAAUGCGUAGUUUAUGUGAUAUUUAUGAAGUUACAAAACCCAUAGAAACAAUACUCGAUUAUUCACUAUUCUGUUUAAUGACAGAAUAUGAUCCAAUAAUAUAUAUGUAGAUGCAAUUAAAGAUGUCAGAUGGAAGAAGGCAAUGGAUGAAGAAAUUGCAGCAAUAAGAAGAAAUGACACAUGGGAGUUAACAAGUCUACCAGAAGGACAUAGUCUAAUUGGAGUCAAAUGGGUGUACAAGAAGAAGACCAACAAAGAAGGAAAAAUGGAGAAAUACAAAGCAAGACUAGUUGCAAAAGGCUACAAGCAAAGAUAUAGUGUAGACUAUGAUGAAGUAUUUGCUCCAGUAGCCAAAAUUGAUACUAUAAGCUUCUCAUGGCAAUUACAGCACAAAAUAAAUGGAAAAUUUAUCAAAUAGACGUGAAGUCAGCAUUCCUUAAUGGCUACUUGGAAGAAGAAGUCUAUAUUGAACAACCACCUGGAUAUUACAAACAAGGACAAAAAGACAAAGUUUAUCGCUUGAAGAAAGCUUUAUACGGAUUGAAGCAGGUUCUGAGAGCAUGGAACACAAGAAUAGAUGAAUACUUUCAGAAGAACAGGUUCAUAAAAAGCCCAUACGAACAUGCUCUAUAUACGAAGAAAAAUAAAGUUGGUGACAUCAUGAUUGUGUGCUUAUAUGUGGAUGAUAUGAUUUUUACAGGAAACAAUCCAAGUAUGUUCAAUGACUUUAAGAAAGCUAUGACUAAAGAAUUUGAAAUGACUGAUAUAGGUGAAAUGUCAUACUUUCUUGGAGUCGAGGUGAAACAAAUGAAAGAUGGACCAUUCGUGUCUCAAAAGAAGUAUGCAGAACAAAUUUUAAGAAAAUUCAAUAUGAAAGAUUGCAAGCCAGUAGCUACGCCAGCAGAACCAGGCACGAAAUUAAGUGUUGAUUCAUCCAGAGAGCCAGUAAAUCCAACGUUGUUUAAAAGUAUCAUUGGAAGUUUAAGGUACUUGACUAUUACGCGGCCAGACAUCAUGUAUGCAGUGGGAAUAGUUAGCAGAUACAUGGAGAAGCCAAAACAAGAUCACCUGAUUGCAGCAAAGAGAAUUUUGAGAUACAUCAAAGGUACGAUGGAUCAGGGUUUAUUUUAUACAUACUCAUAUAGUUCAAAAUUGGUUGGUUAUUCAGAUAGUGAUUAUGGUGGAGACUUGGAUGAUCGUAAAAGCACAUAUGGAUAUUUAUUCCAUUUGGCUACGCAGCAUUUUCAUGGUCAUCGAAAAAGCAACAAACAGUAGCUCUUUCAACAUGUGAAGCAGAAUACAUGGCUGUUGCAAUAUGCACGUGUCAAGCAAUUUGGUUGAAGAAUAUUUUGGGUGAAUUAUCUAUUAUACAAGAAGGUCCAAUUACAAUUUAUGUUGACAACAAGUCCACAAUAUCUCUUUCAAAGAAUCCAGUGUCUCAUAGUCGAAGUAAGCACAUCGAUACAAAGUAUCAUUUUAUUCGAGAGCAAGUGAAAAAUAAAAAUGUGGAGUUAGUCUACUGCAGAACAGAAGAUCAACUAGCGGACAUUUUUAUGAAGCCAUUGAAAGCAGACAUAUUCCAUAAACUCAAAGAAAAGCUUAGAAUGAAAAGUUCGGUUUGAGGGGGAGUGUUAGAAAUCAAACCAAACUUUUCAAAGUCAAAAAUUACAACCAAAGAGUUUGUAUCCAAAUUGGCUUCUACCUCAUACAACUUGGUUUUCAAAUUGGAUACAACUUUGCAAAUUGGAUAAAGCUUAUCAUGUUGGAAACUUCAUGAAAAAUCAAGAUGGUAGCAACAUUGAAAAGUUCAACAAGGUAAGGCAUAUAAUGGAUAAGCAUUAUCAUUUAUGAUAUACUUAAAGGAUAAGUAAUCAUUAAGGUAACUAGACUAUGGGUUCCUUUGGUUUACCAGUGAAGGUCAGUGUGGUGCAGUAGAGGAUAGUAAACUCACUGGUAUGCUGUUUGGUUCAACAACACAAUCCAGUGAAAACUUUAAUCAGCCACACUGAUAUGCUAAAAAUAGCCUGGAGGAUUCAGCUGCAUUUAACGCCAGUACGAUUGUAUCUAUUUUUAUGAGACAAACCUACUCAUGCUUUUAUUUAUUAUUUUACCAUUUUAGCCUUGAAACUUAAAUUAAUUUCCCAACCACAGUUGUUUUCAGAUUUGGGAACGAAACAGCCAUUUUCUUUUUCAUAUUUGAGAAGUAAAACACUGAUUUCUCCCCUCUUUUUUGCUUUGUUCUUGGUUGUGGCUGCUUUUUGAAGGUAUUUUCAUUAAUUUCUUGUUAUCUCUAGUUCUGACUUCUUCUACUCUUCUUUGUCACAGUUGUUAUUAUUAUUACUAUUAUUUUGGGGAACAAAACAACCAUUUUCUUUUACUUUGUUCUUGGUUUAGCAAUGUUUUAACACUGAUUUCUCCCCUCUUUUUUGCUUUGUUCUUAGUUGUAGCUGAGGUAUUUUCAUUAAUUUCUUGUUAUCUCUAGUUCUGGCUUCUUCUACUUUUCUUUGUCACAGUUGUUAGUCCUUUUGACUAUUGAUGUUAAAGUAGUAGAUUAAUGAUCUAAUGUUUUAGAAGUACAUUUGGUUAAUUCUUUGUCUGUUUGCUGAGAAAUGUGAGGUUAAAAAAAGAACUUUUACCAUUUCUGUUUUGUUAUUAUUGCACUCAAAUUUAAAACCCUGAACAACAAAAAAUGAGCUUAGUUGAAUUUGGAUAAUUGAAAGAAAAUAUGGAAAUUGAAAAGAAAAGAGACUUUGGCCUUGAUGGGGUUGAGUUUUUGGAAGUACAUACGAAUAAUUCUUUGUUUGUUUGCUAAUAAAUAUGAGGAAAAGAAAAAUGAACUUUUCCUAUUUCUGUUUUGUUCAUAUGAGCCUAUUUUGAUUUUCUUUGGCACUUAAAUUUGAAGUCUUGAACACCAAAACUGAACUUAGUUGAAUUUGGUUAAUUGAAAAAAUAUAUGGGAACUAAAAAAAAAACAAGUCCUUGUUGUGUUGAUGGGAUUGAGUUUUUAGAAGUGCAGUAGGAUAAAUUCUUUGUUUGUUUGCUAUGAAAAGUGAGAAGAAAAUGAACGUUACCAUUAUAUAAGUUCUUUGUUUUUUUGUUAAGAAAUGUGAGAAAAAAAAUGAGCUUAGUUCGACAUUCAACAUUUCGUUCUUAUGAUUUGUGUCUUCCAGAUUGGAGGCUCUGAAGUGCCUACUUCAUCUGUUAGUGUAGAAGCAGACAAUGUAUGUAUUUGAAAUAGUGAAACUUGUUUAAAAUCGUGUUGCAGCUCAAAUAAGUUCUAUUUCCGAAGUUAACCUCACUGUAAAAGAUAUUAGAUAAAAUAUGAUAUAUCCCCAUCAAUGAUAAUAUAAGUGCUCUCCUUAAUACUCCUUUGAAAAUAUAGGGUAUGUCGUUAAAACCAUUGAUAGAAGGAAAUUCAUUGGCUAUAUUCUAAUAUGACUCUAUAGAUGCUACUAGAAGGUUAGGUGACAAAUUUUAAGGUUCUUUUUCUCCUUGUUGCAGUUUUGUAGCCUCUGUAAAAAGUUUUGUAGAUUCACAAAGGAAACUUCUGAAUUCUUUACCCUCUUCCUUAGAAAUAUAUGAUGAGUAGAGGCAGCAUUAACAUAAGCAGAAACUGAUAGGUAAUUGAGUCCUACAGUUAAUACAGAUAGAUGGGUUGGUAGAACCAAUGAAGGCAUAGAAAUGGUUAUAUUUUCUAUACAAGAAGAUUAUAUUGAAAUUGAUUGCCUGCAAAUAAAUCAGAUCAGUCAUCUGUGUCACUUUCAGAAGUUAGAGGCCUUGUUCCAUUAGUUACUAAGAUAUUUUCUUAAAGUGACUCAUAAACUGGAGUAAUGAUGGGACUGACAUUUGUGUAGCCAUCAAGCCAGAAUUGAAGCACUGAAUCUAUGGCACAAAAAGGUUCCUCUAGUUAAUGAGGAAAAAUGUAAAAUCUUACCUACAAGUUUGAUGUCUAUGUUAUCAACCAACCAUUGUGCCCCAUUUUCUUAAAUCCUGUAAAGUCUGAAGCAAACUUUGUUUUAUGCAUCAGCCUCCUGAAAAUGAAAACAUAUCAACAAUUUUAAGCCAUUUCUGUAGAACAAAACAAAAGUCAAUCCUAUCAAGUAGCAUCACCAUUAUUAAAAACAUCUGAUAUUGUCAUGCUUCAAAAAUACUCUUGAUAGGAGCCCACUCAACUAUAUUCGCUUUAUGCAUAUGUAAAUGCAAACAAAUGAAUAGGUGGUAAGUUCAUAUUGAGUUACCUGUCAGUAUUAAGUGUUUUAAAAAGCACACGAUGUACUCCUCUGGUAAUUUCUUAGAACUAUUGAGUUCCGACCUCUAAGGGCAUUACAGGUUCUAUCACUAUAUGAUAUCUGAAGAUGAAAUGAAAAGUUAUGAUUUUAAUUGCUGAAGAGUUUGUUUUGGGGCAUGGAUAGGAAAAGUAACAGAACGUGUAGUUGUUUUUUAAUUUCCUAUACUAGACUAGAAGUGAAUGUUAUCUGUUGAAAUUAAUAUAAUUUAUAUUUUAAUACAAGAAAAAAAAAACAGUAGUUUGACAAUAGAAAAGGGAUUGUGAAUGUAAGAUUGAAAUCUUAUGCUAAAUGUCUAUGACUUGGGCAAAAUAUUUUGAUUUUGUUAAUGCGUGUAUUCAUAUUAUAUUUUUGUUAUGUUUAGUUUCAUAUAUGAUAAUCAUAUUUAAUACAUUAUUUAUUUAAAUAAUUUUUUAAACAUAAAACUUUUUAUUAAAGGACAAAAAUAAUAACCAAAACAAAAAUUAAAGACAACGACGAACAAUUAAGACCCCAAUUAAUAGAUUUACCCAUUACACCCAUUCUUAUAUCCUUUAGAAUCAUUGAUAUGAGUAGUAGAAAUAUUAUCAUUCAAAACAAAAAUAAGACCAGAAGGAAUGAUAAUCCUUUAUUGACAUCUGAACGGUUCAAAAGGACAUAUAAAUGAAAUUAAACUUUAACAGUAAACAAUCUUGAAUUAAUAAGCCAAACUCUAAAUGUUUGCAUUAGGCUUCAUAAAAGCAUUAAUAACCUCCAAACAUCGAAAUGAAAAAUAACUCUAUCAAAAUGCAAUGGUUUUAGCUAAGACAAGCAUUUAGAAUU